GAUGAACGCUAGCGGCAGGCCUAACACAUGCAAGUCGAGGGGUAGAGUUCUUCGGGACUUGAGACCGGCGCACGGGUGCGUAACGCGUAUGCAAUCUACCUUAUACAGGGGAAUAGCCCCAGAGAAAUUUGGAUUAAUGCCCCAUAGUGUUAUCGAAUCGCAUGGUUUGAUAACUAAAGUUCCAACGGUAUAAGAUGAGCAUGCGUCCCAUUAGUUAGUUGGUAAGGUAACGGCUUACCAAGACAAUGAUGGGUAGGGGUCCUGAGAGGGAGAUCCCCCCACACUGGUACUGAGACACGGACCAGACUCCUACGGGAGGCAGCAGUGAGGAAUAUUGGUCAAUGGGGCGCAAGCCUUGAACCAGCCAUUGCCGCGUGCAGGAAGACGGUCCUAUGGAUUGUAAACUGCUUUUUAUACAGGAAGAAACCCUCCCACGUGUGGGAGCUUUGACGGUACUGUAGGAAUAAGGAUCGGCU
rnacentral:rRNA from 1 species